GUCACUCCUUAGCUAGACCAACCAACAGCGACCAGCAGCUCCCAAAAGGCUGUAUUUCUGUGACGAUCCCUGAUAACACAGGGCACAAUCCUCAAACGGCUAGAAUCCAAUAGUUAAUCCAAAAAAAAAAAACAACCACACCAAAAACAAAAACCCUGAAUCUCGCCUACCCAUCCUUAAGAGGGCGACUUCACCUCCUCUUCAACAGACGUGGCAGCACAAAAAAAGACAGAGCCAUGCCACCAGCUGUCAAGGGUGUAAACAGCGCCAUUCCUGCCACCAUCCUAGACAGUCUCCAGCGCCGAAGGAACCGGGCGGAAGGAACUGGGCAUCGAACCACCCCGAGCCGCAAGCGGUGUUUAUUUCUGGAGCAGAUGCUAGCGAUCUGGGCCACCCAAAGCGCGCGUGCAGGAGAGACAGCGGUCACCUGGAUCGCACCAACGGAAGUCAGUACCAAGACACAAAAUGCAACCUGUCACAGCGAGGAGCAAGGCUGGCAGCAGAACGAUGGCUGCGGCAGCCAAGUCCCAGAGGGCGCCGCGCGCCGCCAGGUACAAAGGAGCAGUUGGCAUUGCUGAAAGACAUCAUGGCCUUCCCAGCAGCCUCGAUCGGUAUUUCUCAAGUUUCCACGUGUGAACAGAGCACCUAGGGAUCUCAGGAAAACGCACACUCUGACUCAGUCAUGGCGAGGUGAGGUCUGAGAAGGUGCCUUCCCCACAAGCUCCUGGUGGUGCCGGAUGCCGGGUCCUCGGAGGCGCACAGAUCCAGAGAGCUCAUUACCAUCAAAACGGGUAAAAAUGGUCCAUGGGGCCUUUGGAUGAACAUGGCGCCGAAAGCGAAGAAGGAAGCCCUGCCCCUCUCAAAGCCGAAGCCAAAGCAAAGGCUUUGAAGGCAAAGAGAGCCGAGCUGAAAGGCGUCCACAGCCACACAAAAAAGAAGAUCCGCAGUCACCCAUCUUCCGAGGCCAAAGACUAAGGCUCCGAAGGCAGCCAGGUAUCCCCGGAAGAGCUGCGCGCCGGAGAAACAGGCCUGCCCACUGUGCCAUCAUCACCUUCCCCCUGACCACCGCGUCCACCAUGGCGAAGAGAGAUGACAAUCACACACGUGUGUUCCCUGUGGGUGUCAAGGCCAAGGAGCACCAGGGCCAACAGGCGGUGAGGAAGCUCUAUGACACUGCGGCGGCCAAGGUCGGCACCCUGAUCAGGCCGGAUGGCGAGAAGAAGGCGUGUUUGGCUCCUGGCUAAGAUGCUUUGGAUGUUGCCUACAAGAUUGGCACCAUCUAUCCAACUGGCUAAUUUUACAGAUAAAAGUUUACACUGGAAAAAAAUACAAUUGAAAUCAAAGAACGUUAUGCCUCAUUCAUCAAUGUGUAAAGAACUACAACCUAAAGUUGUCUUUGUACAAUCUAGUGUUCGCUCACCAACAUGUUGCAAUAUGUCUAUGACAAUAAUGUACCAGAUCCAUUUUCAAACUAUUUUGAAACUUCCAAGGUACAAUUAAUCUAAUACCAUGGUCAGUGAAGAAUGUGGCCUCUCAAAAUUAAAUAUGUUAAAACCAACGCAAAGUCCUUAACACCAUAAGAAAGAUGACCAAUCGGGUGAUCCUUUCUACAACAUAUGAGCUAUUUU